CCCUUAGAUGUUCUGGGCCGCACGCGUGCUACACUGAACGGUUCAAUGGGUGAGGUAGUGCGAAAGCAUAACCUAAUCUCGAAAUCCGUUCGUGCUGGGGAUAGAAGCUUGCAAUUAUCCUUCUUGAACGAGGAAUACCUUGUAGGCGUGAGUCAUCAUCUCGCGCCGAAUACGUCCCUGCCCUUUGUACACACCGCCCGUCGCUCCUACCGAUUGAGUGUUCCGGUGAGGCUUUGGGAGAGCUGGGUGGAUUGUGUUUCACGAACUGCUCGGUUUGAACUUAGUCAAACCUUAUCACUUAGAGGAAGGAGAANUCGUANCA
rnacentral:rRNA from 1 species